AGCCCACCACAGGCUCCCAAAAGGUCAUGACUUGAAGGUACUAUUGGUAGUAACUUAUUUCCUUAUAUGCAGACAAAUUUUUCCCCUAUCUUUCGAUGUGGGACUGGGGUGUUACAAACUCCCCCACUUAAAUUUCUGACGUCCCCGUCAGAAUCGAUCACACACACGGCCCAAAGAUCUUUGCCUCUCUAGCCAUUGUGGGAUAAUACCG
rnacentral:lncRNA from 1 species